CAGCCGCCGCGGUAAUACGGAGGGAGCUAGCGUUGUUCGGAAUUACUGGGCGUAAAGCGCACGUAGGCGGCUUUGUAAGUUAGAGGUGAAAGCCCGGAGCUCAACUCCGGAAUUGCCUUUAAGACUGCCGAGCUAGCAGGUGAGAGAGGUAAGUGGAAUUCCGAGUGUAGAGGUGAAAUUCGUAGAUAUUCGGAAGAACACCAGUGGCGAAGGCGGCUCACUGGCUCAUACUGGACGCUGAGGUGCGAAAGCGUGGGGAGCAAACAGGAUUAGAUACCCCCGUAGUCCCUGUCUCUUAUAC
rnacentral:rRNA from 1 species